rnacentral:lncRNA from 1 species
GUGCUCCGCAGGGCGCAGCUUUAUACGACCGCAGAGGUCGAACCUUGAACAGUUGUGGCAAGUAUGGACAAAACAUUCAAGCGUGAUACAGCUCUGAAUUUGGAUUGUGAUCAAAUUUUUGACAUUAUAUGGGUUUUUUACACAAAACAAAUGUCAAGAUUUUUACAAAUCAAUGAAAGAUUUCUUCUUCAAACUUAUUUAAAUCUAAAAUUAAAUAGUUGACACAGCAUAGGUUUCUGACACAGAAUGAAUG